CAUCUGUUUCUUAAACUCUGGUUUUUGUUGUUGUUUUUUAACCGACUGAACUUUUCUUGAAGCAAAUUCUAACUCAGAACCAAGCAUAUAAAAGAGCUUACAGUGGAGCUGAUUUGGCAGAAGCAGGUGACGGGGGCCCAGAGCCCUCACCUCUGAGACCUCCUGGUUGGUGGAGAGACAGAGGUUCCAAGUACUCCUAGGCUGGGGAGGGGUGGGGAGAACCAAGGCCAUGUCCUUUAGUCCAGAGAGGCCUGAAGUGGAGUGACCUCCAUUCCUGGCUACCACACCUCAUCUGAGUUAUGGAACCAUCUAUAUGGAUGUCAGGGGAGGAGAUAAGUUUUCAACUUGUCCCUCUUCCUCCUCACGGUCUGGAGAGGGGAAAAGGUAACUGGGCCCAGGCUGUCAGCUUGAUCAAAGCCUGAUGCCCAGCAGAGGCCUGACAUAACAGGCCUUCGAUAAAUGCUUACAGAACGAAUGCAUAUUUUUUCCUUCUAAGUUUUGGGGAAGAUACAGGUGGCAUGACUUCUGGGAGCAAGUGAAACUGUCCUGGGGGCUGGCCCUUCUCAGUGAGGUUCCAGUGAUCCAUGCUGUGGCUCAGUUGGUGUGGGGUGGUAGGAGAACACCAGGCUGAAAAUCAGAGGCUUGGUUAGCUUCUGCCUCCAGUUGCCAGGAGCCUGCUGUGUGCUCUUGAUGGGUGGUGCUCCUUCUCUGGGCUUUGGUCAUCUCUUUUUGGCACAAUGGACUGGAUGAAGUUUCUCAAACUGCAGUUUGCAACCCAUUUGGAACAUUUAAAAAAAGCAAUUCAGUGGGUUACAAUCAGCAUUAAAGCAACAACACCAACACAACUCAAAUAGAAUAGAAAAUAUCAGCGGGCAUCAAAGGUCAUAAGAAUAAGUAUUGUUUGGCGAAACUAUUAUUUUGCUUAUAUAUAGAUGAAGGUGUGGGCUGGUCUGCUGUGAAACUUGUUACUGUUUGCCCUGGUGAAAAACAAAACAAAACUGUAAAACACGGGACUUGGCGAUCCUGGAAGUGUCCUUCCCUCCCAGGUUCCUGGGGGUCUUCGAAAGAAAAAUAAAAAAGAGAACCACCCCCACCCCGCCACUGCCUGGGGCUCUUCUCCUCCCAGGGUCAGCAGCUGUCUCUUUGCUCUUAGCUGUCUCCACCCCUCCCCUAGCCUCUCUUCUUCCUGCUUCAGUCACUGAGUCCCCUCCUCCCUUUCUUCCAGGGACAAACGCCCCCCCGCAACUCAGGAAGUGGGGGUGGGGGGAUUUGAAGGGAGCGAAUGUGAUCGGAUGGAGGUGGCAAUGGGCACCCUAUCCUAGAAGUUCAAAUAAAGGACUAGAAAGCAAACACCCAAGCACCGGGAAACAGAACAGAAAGUAAGCGAGCUGUGGACGCGGAUUUGAGGGCAGGACUUUGGGAGCCAGAGCCUGGCGGCGCCGCCGCAGCGGGUCACUCCCAGAGGGCCGGCACCCAGACUUGGCAUCCUUAGCGCUUGGGUGCGCUAUCAACUAGCGAAGGAAAGACAGAAGGAGCCAAGAGUUUUGGAGCCAACUCCUGGAGAGGGAGCGGCUGAACUGAUUCGGAAGUUGGAUCUCUUUGUACACAGGAAUGCGGAGGAAAAAAAAAAACAAAACCCACCCCAUUGCUUCAUUUCCCCUCCAAGUCCGAGCACUUUCUAUUGUGCAAUGAAAAGGCUUUUUUCACGUUGA